GAAAAGUGGAGUCCAGCACCCACUCAAAAAAACGGGGCAUAUCCGAAAAGCCUUACGAGUAGGAAUUUA
rfam:Mariniphaga anaerophila strain DSM 26910 genome assembly, contig: Ga0131162_111